UAUUUUUCAGGUUGCUCAGAUGAACAGACUUUCGAGACGAAGACUGUUUACGUUGGGGAGAAUAUUAACCUGACGUGCCCCCGUAGAGAUGUAGGAACCUUCUUUUGGCUCAAGUUUGUUUCUGGAGACUUUCCUAAAAUCUUAGGAAGAUCAUUUAGCUCUCAGAGUGCUGAUCAGCACAUUAGAACUGUAACAGAUCCUGGAAUAUUUGAUCUGUAUAUUACAAAAGCACAGCAGAGUGAUACAGGAGUUUACAUCUGUAUGAAAACAGUAAAUCGAGAACUAACAUUUUUGAAUGGAACCUACUUAAAAGUUGAAGGACCAGAGCCUCCUUUCACUACAACUCCUCCAUCUGAUCCUGUCCAUCAGGAACACACAGUAACUCUCCAGUGUUCGGUCUUUCAUGACUUCCUGAAUAAAACAUGUCCAGUACAUGACAACGUGUUCUGUUUGAGUGCAGAACCACAUCAAUCUCACUUGGAUUCUAAUUGUGCUCAUGUAAAUGGUGCAGAUGAAUAUGAAAGGAACUCAGAGGGACUCUCAACAAAAACAUGUUUCUACAGCUACCUCAGAAACUCCAGCUCUUCUGAUUCACAGAUGUAUUACUGUGCCGUGGCCACAUGUGUGGAGUCUUUUUCUCGAAAUAAAACAAAAGCCGAUACUGAUGCAGUCAACAAGACUAAUUCAAUGAAGGACAAUGCACUUCUCUAUCUGUUAUGUGUUGCUUUGGCUGUAACCCUGAUUGUUAUAGCCUCUCUAAUCUAUUCAGUCAAGAACAAUAGCUCAUGU